rnacentral:rRNA from 1 species
UAGAGAAGCGUUAUCCGUGCUGGACCGUGUAUAAGUCUCCUGGAAUGGAGCGUCAUAGAGGGUGAGAAUCCCGUCUUUGACACGGACUACCAGUGCAUUGUGAUGCGCUCUCGACGAGUCGAGUUGUUUGGGAAUGCAGCUCAAAAUGGGUGGUAAAUGCCAUCUAAAGCUAAAUAUUGGCGAGAGACCGAUAGCGAACAAGUACCGUGAGGGAAAGAUGAAAAGAACUUUGGAAAGAGAGUUAAACAGUACGUGAAAUUGUCGAAAGGGAAACGGUUGCAGUCAGUCGCGUCCGCCGGGGAUCAACCUUGCUUUUGCUUGGCGUAUUUCCCGGUGGAUGGGUCAGCAUCAGUUUUGACCGCAGUUGAAAGGCUGGAGGAAUGUGGCACCUUCGGGUGUGUUAUAGCCUCCUGUCAUAUGCUGCGGUUGGGACUGAGGAACUCAGCACGCCGCAAGGCCGGGAUUCGUCCACGUU